rnacentral:rRNA from 1 species
UACGAAGGGGGCUAGCGUUGCUCGGAAUCACUGGGCGUAAAGGGUGCGUAGGCGGGGCUUUAAGUCAGGGGUGAAAUCCUGGAGCUCAACUCCAGAACUGCCUUUGAUACUGAAGAUCUUGAGUCCGGGAGAGGUGAGUGGAACUGCGAGUGUAGAGGUGAAAUUCGUAGAUAUUCGGAAGAACACCAGUGGCGAAGGCGAGUCUCUGGACAUUUCCUGACGCUGAGGCACGAAAGCCAGGGGAGCAAACGGG